rnacentral:lncRNA from 1 species
AAGAAAAACCCAGGGCAUGGCAGAGGGGUCCUACCUCUCAGGAGGUGAUACCUGUUCCGUGUACAGAGGAUGGACAUAAACUGCACCUCAUCGGUUCCCCAUUUCUUCUCCCCCGCUUCGUACAGGCACUUAAAGACAUUAUGGAUGACAAAGUAAGGCUCAUGGAGAAGACUGGAUGUGCAGAUCUUUAAUUCCUUGGAGCUAGAGCACUGCUGGCCUGUACUUGUCUAGAUCAUGGAUGUUUUCCAACAAGCACCAACCAGGCAUGGCAACCCACAAUCGAAAUGUCAUUGCCCCUGCCAAGUAACCAGCCUGUCUAGAGACCUCUCAUUAGAGACUCACAAACAAGACCAGAACUGUUAUUCCCAUUUCACAGGUUGGCUUCUCUUCACCACGCAUCACACAGACACAGAUUGCUCCUGCAGGGAAGCACGUUACUACACACCUGGGCAUCUUGCUGAGCAAGGGCAUCAUCCACAUACGUUCCCUCAUCUCUGUUUCCCGUUGCGAGGGACACGAGGACCCUUCGAAACAUGGAGGAUGUGUCAGAUACGAUGUCAUCCUCGAGGGAGCAGCCAUAUUGAAGCUUGUAGUUCUCAUUAAUGCGACGAAUCUCUUCGUUGGUGCGAGAAGCCAGAAUUUCAAUCAGGCAACCUUCAUCUGUUCCCGCUCCCUAGGGAAUUGCCAGGAUUUAAGAUACCAGCAACUGCUUGUGACGUGCAACCAGGUUUCUUUAAGAGUUAAUAGUAAAUAAAUAGACAUACAUAACAAAGCAGUAAGUCCUUGGCCAGAACUUAAGCAAUACAAAAGGAAGAUUUCCAAACCUUCACAGCCCUCCUUAGUUCGUGCACGUCAUACAUGGUGGUGGGAGUCAUCAUCCCUAUGAUCACCCUCUCAAAAUUCCCACUCAGCUCCGACUUCAAGUCAUCAAUCAAAUCCUAGAAGGCCAAGAGAGGAGAAAGGAGUUGGCAGAAGGUACGGCCUUCGAGGACAGAAAGAACUGAGUUGUUCACCACUUCUCUUCAGGCUCCAACCCUCCUUGCAUCAACAACUGCU